GUUAAACAUAAAGAGCGUAGGGUGGAUGCCUAGGCACUGACAGCCGAAGAAAGACGUGACAAGCUGCGAAAAGCUGCGGGGAGAAGCACAUAUUCAGUGAUCCGCAGAUGUCUGAAUGGGGAAACCCGCUUGGAAGUACUCCAAGCAUCCAUACGCCAAUACAUAACGUAUGGAAGGGAACCCGGUGAACUGAAACAUCUAAGUAGCCGGAGGAAAAGAAAACAAAAGUGAUUGCGAAAGUAGCGGCGAGCGAAAUCGUAAAAGCCCAAACCGCGGUGCGUGCACUGCGGGGUAGAGGACUGCAAUACGAGUAAGAUAUAUUACCUGAACCGUUUUGGAAAAGCGGGCCAAAGAGCGUGAGAGCCGUGUAAGGGAAAAUAUAUUGAAUCAAGCAGUAUCCGGAGUACCACGAGACACGAGAAACCUUGUGGGAAGCAGGGGGGACCACCCCCCAAGGCUAAAUACUUGUCAGUGACCGAUAGCGUAUAGUACUGUGAAGGAAAGGUGAAAAGAACCCCGGGAGGGGAGUGAAAAAGAACCUGAAACCCUAUGUUUACAAACUGUGGAACACCGAAAGGUGAACCGCGUACUUUUUGUAGAACGGUCCGGCGAGUUACAUGUACAGGCGAGGUUAAGUAUUAAAGAUACGGAGCCGAAGGGAAACCAAGUCUUAAUAGGGCGAUGAAGUCAGUAUGUGUAGACCCGAAACCGGGUGAUCUAUCCAUGUCCAGGUUGAAGUUCGCGUAAAAGUGAAUGGAGGACCGAACGCACAUCCGUUGAAAAGGGUGGCGAUGAGGUGUGGAUAGGGGAGAAAUUCCAAUCGAACCCGGAGAUAGCUGGUUCUCCUCGAAAUAGUUUUAGGACUAGCCUCGUUAUUAGUCUACCGGAGGUAGAGCACUGAAUUUUUGCGGGGGCGUCAAAGCCUACCAAGAGAUAUCAAACUCCGAAUGCCGGCUAGAUGAUUAACGGGAGUCAGACUGCACGAGAUAAGUUGGGUAGUCAAAAGGGAAAGAGCCCGGACCCGCGGCUAAGGUCCCAAAGUGUGUGUUAAGUGGAAAAGGAUGUGGGAUUUCAAAGACAGCUAGGAUGUUGGCUUAGAAGCAGCCAUACAUUAAAAGAGUGCGUAACAGCUCACUAGUCGAGAGGUCCUGCGCCGAAAAUGUCCGGGGCUAAACACAACACCGAAGCCCGGGAAUGUAUUUUAUACAUUGGUAGAGGAGCAUUCUUAUAAGCGUAGAAGCCAUACUGGAAGGAGUGGUGGAGUAAUAAGAAGAGAGAAUGCCGGAAUGAGUAGCGAGAAAGAGGUGAGAAUCCUCUUGGCCGAAUAUCUAAGGUUUCCUGAGUAAAGCUGAUCUACUCAGGGUAAGUCGGGGCCUAAGGCAAGGUCGAAAGACGUAGUCGAUGGAUAACAGGUACAGAUUCCUGUACUACAUAUAAUCAGAACUGUGGGGACACGGAGACUAAAAACCGAACCCGGGAGGACAAAAACCGGGGCAAGCGAAGUACCUGUAUGGGAGGCAAAUCCACCAUACAAAGGGAAAACGUGAUGCGUACCGAAAGUUAGUAGGGAAGUCGGUUAGGGAGCCGUCAAGAAAAGCCGCUAUUGUAUUAUAUGUACCCGUACCGCAAACCGACACAGGUAGAUGAGGAGAGAAUCCUAAGGCCGGCGGGAGAAGCAUUGUUAAGGAACUCGGCAAAAUGACCCCGUAACUUCGGGAGAAGGGGUGCCACUAGCAAUAGUGGUCGCAGAAAAAAGGCUCAAGCAACUGUUUAGCAAAAACACAGGUCUAUGCGAAACCGUAAGGUGAAGUAUAUGGGCUGACGCCUGCCCGGUGCCGGAAGGUUAAGAGGAGAAGUCAGGAAACGAAGCUUUGAAUUGAAGCCCCGGUAAACGGCGGCCGUAACUAUAACGGUCCUAAGGUAGCGAAAUUCCUUGUCGGGU
rnacentral:rRNA from 1 species